GCACAGUUGGCAUGCAGGAUGAGGCGGUGAAAGAAGAGGACGGAUUAAACCAAAUAAGACAAAUUCAAUCGAAGGAGGCGAAGGCAACGGCCGACAAACCUUACGACCCGGCGGGCAAAAAAACCGGCGGAGCUGGGUCUGCCGGCACCUCCGUUGGCAGUGCGCCUAGACACACCCCUGCUCGCGCUGGCCGCAUCACGCCGAUGAGCGAUCAGCGGACUGAUCGAGGGCAAGCUGAAUAAAGACCAGUGGACCCAGGGAUCCUUGCCGGAACUUAAUCUUCUGUCGUGUACACAGUCUGCCUUCGUCCCCGCGUUGACGAGCCGUGCGUCUCGUCAGCCAUAGUUUUCUCUGCUUGCCGGACUGCCAUCUUCGAUCCUCGACCCCCGCUUGGACACGGACCUCCCGCGCCUCGCCAUUCGCCCUGACCAUCUGCCUGCCCCAUGGACUGCCUUCAUGCCUUGUUCCUCCUCUCGAGUCAACACUAGGUAAAACACUCAAGUAAUUACCCACACCACCUAGUCUAACACCACACACUCUUGGAUUUUGGUCACACUCCAAUCUCUAGCCUAGUUUAUUUAUAGUAUUAUUGUUGAUUAUUAUAUAUAUAUAUAUAUCGUAAUAUAUAUAAUAAAAUACAUAGCCCUAUACUUCCCCCUUGUGUCUGUGCCGUCAACUCCCUCCUGCUAAACAUCCAUCCAUCCAUUUUCUGGGGUCGCUGGAGCCUAUCUCAGCUGCAUUCGGGCGGAAGGUGGUGUACACCCUGGACAAGUCGCCACCUCAUCGCAGGGCCAACACAGAUAGACAGACAACAUUCACACUCACAUUCACACACAAGGGGACAAUUUAGUGUUGCCAAUCAACUUAUCCCCAGGUGCAUGUCUUUGGAGGUGGGAGGAAGCCGGAGUACCCGGAGGGAACCCACGCAGUCACGGGGAGAACAUGCAAACUCCACACAGAAAGAUCCCGAGCCCGGGAUUGAACUCAGGACUACUCAGGACCUUCGUAUUGUGAGGCAGAUGCACUAACCCCUCUUCCACCGUGCUGCCCAUAUAUUGUAAUAUAUAUAAUAAAAUACAUAGCCCUAUACUUCCCCCUUGUGUCUGUGUUGUCAAUUCCCUCCUGCUAAACAUCCAUCCAUCCAUUUUCUGGGGUCGCUGGAGCCUAUCUCAGCUGCAUUCGGGCGGAAGGCGGUGUACACCCUGGACAAGUCGCCACCUCAUCGCAGGGCCAACACAGAUAGACAGACAACAUUCACACUCACAUUCACACACAAGGGGACAAUUUAGUGUUGCCAAUCAAC